rnacentral:rRNA from 1 species
UACGUAGGGUGCGAGCGUUGUCCGGAAUUAUUGGGCGUAAAGAGCUCGUAGGCGGUCUGUCGCGUCGAAUGUGAAAACCCGGGGCUCAACUCCGGGCUUGCAUUCGAUACGGGCAGGCUAGAGUUCGGUAGGGGAGUCUGGAAUUCCUGGUGUAGCGGUGGAAUGCGCAGAUAUCAGGAAGAACACCGAUGGCGAAGGCAGUUCUCUGGGCCGUAACUGACGCUGAGGAGCGAAAGCGUGGGGAGCAAACAGG